rnacentral:rRNA from 1 species
UACGUAGGGUGCAAGCGUUGUCCGGAAUUAUUGGGCGUAAAGAGCUCGUAGGCGGUCUGUCGCGUCGGCUGUGAAAACCCGGGGCUCAACCCCGGGCCUGCAGUCGAUACGGGCAGACUAGAGUGCGGUAGGGGAGACUGGAAUUCCUGGUGUAGCGGUGAAAUGCGCAGAUAUCUGGAGGAAUACCGGUGGCGAAGGCGGCAUCCUGGACCGGCAUUGACGCUGAGGAGCGAAAGCUAGGGGAGCAAACGGG